CCUACGGGAGGCAGCAGUAAGGAAUAUUGGUCAAUGGACGAAAGUCUGAACCAGCCAUGCCGCGUGAAGGAUUAAGGCCCUCUGGGUUGUAAACUUCUUUUAUCUGGGACGAAAAAAGGGUAGUCUUACUCACUUGACGGUACCAGAGGAAUAAGCACCGGCUAACUCCGUGCCAGCAGCCGCGGUAAUACGGAGGGUGCAAGCGUUAUCCGGAUUUACUGGGUUUAAAGGGUGCGUAGGUGGGCUUGUAAGUCAGUGGUGAAAUCUCCGGGCUUAACCCGGAAACUGCCAUUGAUACUAUAGGUCUUGAAUUAUCUGGAGGUAAGCGGAAUAUGUCAUGUAGCGGUGAAAUGCUUAGAUAUGACAUAGAACACCAAUUGCGAAGGCAGCUUACUACGGAUACAUUGACACUGAGGCACGAAAGCGUGGGGAUCAAACAGGAUUAGAUACCCUGGUAGUCCACGCCCUAAACGAUGGAUACUCGACAUCAGCGAUACACUGUUGGUGUCUGAGCGAAAGCAUUAAGUAUCCCACCUGGGAAGUACGAUCGCAAGAUUGAAACUCAAAGAGUAGUAGGCGUGAGACGUGCCGACGGACGACCACACGGGAGGUUAGGG
rnacentral:rRNA from 1 species